GACGAACGCUGGCGGCAUGCCUAAUACAUGCAAGUCGAACGAACACCUUCGGGUGUUAGUGGCGAACGGGUGAGUAACACGUGAGUAACCUAGCUAUUAGCCGAGGAUAACUACUGGAAACGGUAGCUAAUACUGGAUAGGACGAAAGUUUAAAGAUCCUACGGGAUCACUAAUAGAGGGGCUUGCGGCGCAUUAGCUAGUUGGUAGGGUAAAGGCCUACCAAGGCGACGAUGCGUAGCCGACCUGAGAGGGUGACCGGCCACACUGGGACUGAGACACGGCCCAGACUCCUACGGGAGGCAG
rnacentral:rRNA from 1 species